CAAAACCCUAGCUCAUCCCUCUCUCCCCGUCUUCAUCUUGCGUUCUUCAAACAAUGCACCGCACCACAUUCUUCAAACAAGGCCUCUUUCGUUCGUAUUGGUCUUGGUCUUCCGUUGCAUUUAUGGGCUGAGCGAGGCUCCAAUCGUUUGUCGAAGGUUCUGUGCCUCCAACCGUUCGUCAUAUCUUAUGAUAUUGUGACACAGUUGUGAUUGUAAGACAUUCCAUUUUCAUGAUAUUUUGCUGCAGUAGAAAUACGUGUAUAUACAUAAUAUUAGAAAUUUGCAGUUCCAGAACUAUGGUGAGAAAUGUGUGGCAGAGGUGUGAUCCUAAGAUGAUCAGUUGGCUAAUAUGAACACCCACGAUGUCGUCAAAUUUUCACGUCUUCUCGGCAACGAGAUUCGCAUUCUCAAGGUGACUUUUGAUGAUGAUAAAUCAAAAGCAGUGGAUUUCAAUAUUAUCCACCAUCUAAUCCUGGUUUCCAAGCUAUUGAAGAAGAAAAUCCUCCACUGUUAUUGAAGAGCCACGUGGUACUGAUAUUUCUUUGGACCCUCAAGUUUCGUUUGUUCCAUCUGUUGAGGUGUUGGUUAAGGCUCUGCUUAUGAUGUCACCAGCAGCUCUGAAACAUGCUCCAGAUUCAUUUGUCAGAAUAUUACUUUGCUCACAUCAUCCAUGUGUAGUUGGUAGUGCAAAAAGAGAUGUGGUGUGGAAGGGAUAUGAUCAAGCGAGCAUGCCAAACAAUGAAAGUAAUGAAGAUCAAAAUUAGACAUUGUUUCCUUUAUAGUAAUGUAAUGAACAUCUCAGUCAUAUUUUUGUAUUUUAAUUUAGUAUUGAAUAUCUUUCUUUUUAAUAUAUGAACAAUUAGUUGUAUGAACAUGUUGAACAAUGAAUAU